AUCAAUGAUGAGCCAUCCACAUAAUUGAGGUGUUGUUGAUUUCGGGACCCUGUUCAUCAGGGAGAACCUACCCGGAGUUGCUACACUUAAUUGUGAUAUUUCUGGAUGUUUCUGAGAU